rnacentral:rRNA from 1 species
GGGGAAUAUUGGACAAUGGGCGCAAGCCUGAUCCAGCCAUGCCGCGUGAGUGAUGAAGGCCUUAGGGUUGUAAAGCUCUUUCAGUGGGGACGAUAAUGACGGUACCCACAGAAGAAGCCCCGGCUAACUUCGUGCCAGCAGCCGCGGUAAUACGAAGGGGGCUAGCGUUGUUCGGAUUUACUGGGCGUAAAGCGCACGUAGGCGGAUCGUUAAGUCGGGGGUGAAAUCCUGGAGCUCAACUCCAGAACUGCCUUCGAUACUGGCGAUCUUGAGUCCGGAAGAGGUGAGUGGAACUCCUAGUGUAGAGGUGGAAUUCGUAGAUAUUAGGAAGAACACCAGUGGCGAAGGCGGCUCACUGGUCCGGUACUGACGCUGAGGUGCGAAAGCGUGGGGAGCAAAC